UUCAGCCGCGCAGUCGCUGAGAGUCGCUGUGAUGACGCUCGGCUCAAACAGCGUAUCCCCCGGUGAUCUACUCAAUCUCUGUCCUCCCAUAGGCUGUAUCAGGUGUCAAUCAUAGAAAACAUGAACCCCCUAAUAACUUUUAAAAAUGGAGCUGUACAGAAAAAAGAGGACUUGAGCACAAACCAGUCUGACAGUAACUACAUGUCAACAUCACAACCAGGGGGGAGAAACAUUUAUAUUCUGUGUCAUUCAUUUAGAAAGUUUGUCCACAGCUCCAUAAGGAGGGGGGGUUUAUGAACUAUACUGCAGCCCGUCACCAGAGGGCGCUGUUCUCGGAGUGGCUUCACCUGGAGAGGAGGCAGAUGGCGUCCAUUUUAUAUACUAUAUAUAAUAUAUAUAUAUAUAUAUAUAUAUAUAUAUAUAAAUCCCUCCUCACUGGGAGAUCCAAAGUCUUUCACCAGGGUUCCUGAGGGACCAGAAUAUCUGAAUACCGCCCAGAACUCGCUACCUUUGGCUGCAGGUGACAGCCUCGACAACCCGGACUACCAAGCCGGCUUCCUGCCACAGGCCGCACCCCCCGCUGUCAAUAACACGGCUUUAACGGCGAACGGUCUUUUCCUCCCUGCAGCAGAGAACCUGGAAUAUUUGGGUUUUGGAGCUGCACUGCACGCUCCUGUCCGCUAGAGGGCAGCAGCAUUCAGGAACCUUAAACUGAAGCCGUAAGGCCCUGCGGACACUUUGAUUUAGACUGACGACAGUAUUUAAUUUAUCUGUUUUUACUCUGAAGUGUCCCAGACUGCAUCUCAGCAGCACUCAGACUGAGGAAGAGGAGACGUCCCGACUUCAGGUGAUACAGGAAAACACAAAGAUCUGGACAAAGGCAGCAUGAUGACACCUAACAGGCACUGAAGCACGUUCACAGGCACUGUCCUAAACCCACUUUGUCCUCUUUUUGCACCCACCCCUGCAGAAGUUUGCUGGUUAACUCCAAAAAAAAAAUGACAUCCAAGUUUUCUUUGAAGGGGCGGCUGAGGAGAAACGAGAGUCCAGUCUCCCUUUUUACCUGGAUGAAGAGAACCUACACAGACAUCUAACCUUAAAGGAUCUCUUCUUCUAAAAACCAUCGUCAAAAAUUAUAACUUUGUCAUCUUAAAGCUGCAGGUGGGAAGAAGAUCUGAAGGACAAAAUGAUUAACGCCUUCAUGCAUCAGGUAUCUGACACGGUGGCGCCCUCUGCUGGAGAAAUGGAAGUCCUGCAGGUGAAAAACAAGCAUUUACUGACAGUAAACACUCUAAUGUAGCAACAAGAAAACGAAAGGGUUCUCCACGGUCUGUUUAUGACCCGUGUUUGUUCUAACUCCUCCUAUGAAGACAUUUUAUAUCACAUGAUAUUAAUGAACUAUCACCACUGGUUUUCUCUUAGGUCCUCACUUCAGCCAAACCCUGAGACCUGUUGACAGUUUUUUAGAUGACU